rnacentral:tRNA from 1 species
CGCCACCUUCGGGUGCGGCGCUGAGGUGGUUGUAGACCACCUGGAAUAAGGGGUUGUGGCUCAUGCUGCGUUCAGGCUGCAGGGCAUCGACCA